rnacentral:rRNA from 1 species
CUGUCGGUGUUAACUGGCAUGUUCUGUGGAACGUCCUGCCGGUGGUGGUCCGGGCUCUCGUUCUGCGUAAGGGCUACCCGAAGCAGUUCGAAAAGUUCCGGCCGCCGGUUCAAUCCCGCCACGGUGCUCUUCACCGAGUGUCGAGGUGGGCCGGCACUUUUACUUUGAACAAAUUAGAGUGCUUAAAGCAGGCGGUUUCCGCCUGAAUACUGUGUGCAUGGAAUAAUGGAAUAGGACCUCGGUUCUAUUUUGUUGGUUUUCAGAACCCGAGGUAAUGAUUAAUAGGGACAGGCGGGGGCAUUCGUAUUGCGACGUUAGAGGUGAAAUUCUUGGAUCGUCGCAAGACGAACCUAAGCGAAAGCAUUUGCCAAGUAUGUUCUCGUUAAUCAAGAACGAAAGUUAGAGGUUCGAAGGCGAUCAGAUACCGCCCUAGUUCUAACCAUAAACGAUGCCAGCCAGCGAUCCGCCGAAGUUCCUCCGAUGACUCGGCGGGCAGCUUCCGGGAAACCAAAGCUUUUGGGUUCCGGGGGAAGUAUGGUUGCAAAGCUGAAACUUAAAGGAAUUGACGGAAGGGCACCACCAGGAGUGGAGCCUGCGGCUUAAUUUGACUCAACACGGGAAACCUCACCAGGCCCGGACACCGGAAGGAUUGACAGAUUGAGAGCUCUUUCUUGAUUCGGUGGGUGGUGGUGCAUGGCCGUUCUUAGUUGGUGGAGCGAUUUGUCUGGUUAAUUCCGAUAACGAACGAGACUCUAGCCUGUUAACUAGGCGAUUCCCGGUACCCACAAUAGUGUUACCGGCGAUUCAAUUUCUUCUUAGAGGGACAGGCGGCUUCUAGCCGCACGAGACUGAGCAAUAACAGGUCUGUAAUGCCCUUAGAUGUUCUGGGCCGCACGCGCGCUACACUGAAGGAAUCAGCGUGUCUUCCCUGGCCGACAGGCCCGGGUAACCCGUUGAACCUCCUUCGUGCUAGGGAUUGGGGCUUGCAAUUUUUCCCCAUGAACGAGGAAUUCCCAGUAAGCGCGAGUCAUAAGCUCGCGUUGAUUACGUCCCUGCCCUUUGUACACACCGCCCGUCGCUACUACCGAUUGAAUGAUUUAGUGAGGUCUUCGGACUGGUGCGCGGCUGUCGGGUCUCCGGCAGCCGAUGUUGCCGGAA